CCCUUAGAUGUUCUGGGCUGCACGCGCGCUACACUGAUGCGUUCAACGAGUUUAUGACCUUGCCCGAUAGGGUUGGGUAAUCUUUUUAAAUCGCAUCGUGAUGGGGAUAGAUUAUUGCAAUUAUUAAUCUUCAACGAGGAAUUCCUAGUAAGCGCGAGUCAUCAGCUCGUGCUGAUUACGUCCCUGCCCUUUGUACACACCGCCCGUCGCUCCUACCGAUUGAAUGGUCCGGUGAAGCGCUCGGACCGCGGCCUCUUGACGGUUCGCUGUCGAUUGGCUGUGGGAAGUUCGUUAAACCUUAUCAUUUAGAGGAAGGAGAAGUCGUAACA
rnacentral:rRNA from 1 species